GACGAAUGCUGGCGGCGUGCCUAAUACAUGCAAGUCGAACGCUUCUUUCCUCCCGAGUGCUUGCACUCAAUUGGAAAGAGGAGUGGCGGACGGGUGAGUAACACGUGGGUAACCUACCCAUCAGAGGGGGAUAACACUUGGAAACAGGUGCUAAUACCGCAUAACAGUUUAUGCCGCAUGGCAUAAGAGUGAAAGGCGCUUUCGGGUGUCGCUGAUGGAUGGACCCGCGGUGCAUUAGCUAGUUGGUGAGGUAACGGCUCACCAAGGCCACGAUGCAUAGCCGACCUGAGAGGGUGAUCGGCCACACUGGGACUGAGACACGGCCCAGACUCCUACGGGAGGCAGCAGUAGGGAAUCUUCGGCAAUGGACGAAAGUCUGACCGAGCAACGCCGCGUGAGUGAAGAAGGUUUUCGGAUCGUAAAACUCUGUUGUUAGAGAAGAACAAGGACGUUAGUAACUGAACGUCCCCUGACGGUAUCUAACCAGAAAGCCACGGCUAACUACGUG
rnacentral:rRNA from 1 species